rnacentral:rRNA from 1 species
GGCCUACGGGGGGCAGCAGUGAGGAAUAUUGGUCAAUGGGAGAGAUCCUGAACCAGCCAAGUCGCGUGAGGGAAGACGGCCCUAUGGGUUGUAAACCUCUUUUGUCGGAGAACAAAACCCGGGACGUGUCCCGGACUGCGUGUAUCCGAAGAAAAAGCAUCGGCUAACUCCGUGCCAGCAGCCGCGGUAAUACGGAGGAUGCGAGCGUUAUCCGGAUUUAUUGGGUUUAAAGGGUGCGUAGGCGGUACGUUAAGUCAGCGGUAAAAUUGCGGGGCUCAACCCCGUCGAGCCGUUGAAACUGGCAG